CCGAGCAGCCUCCUGAAGAGCCCAGCAGCGAGAAUUCAGACAGCAGCAGUCAGUCUCCCCAGUUCCUGUUUCCGCCACGACUCGGGAAGCAUCCCUUUCGUUAAAACAUACGCGCUGUGGAGAUACUAGUACGCCAGUGCCAAAUCAAGGGGGAGGGAAUCGUCCUUGCAUGUCCCAGCUUAGCUUUUUAUAGGACACGCAGUCUGGACCAGAAUCCCUUGCAGAGUCUCUAGAGGAAUAAGAACUCAUCAGAGCCAUUGGUUCCCUGAAGUGUAGUCUCAUAAGCGAAGUCUUAAGGGAUCUCAAAACCCUCCGCCCCUUCUCUGUGAGGGGCCGCUGCCAUGAUAUAACCUCCAAGUCUCUAAGUGCACACGCAAGCGAGACCCAGUGACCCCUGACGCCCCCCUUC